rnacentral:rRNA from 1 species
CCUACGGGAGGCAGCAGUGAGGAAUAUUGGUCAAUGGACGAGAGUCUGAACCAGCCAAGUAGCGUGCAGGAUGACGGCCCUAUGGGUUGUAAACUGCUUUUAUACAGGGAUAAAGUUCACUACGUGUAGUGUUUUGUAGGUACUGUAUGAAUAAGGACCGGCUAAUUCCGUGCCAGCAGCCGCGGUAAU